GACGAACGCUGGCGGCGUGCCUAAUACAUGCAAGUAGAACGCUGAAGGAGGAGCUUGCUUCUCUGGAUGAGUUGCGAACGGGUGAGUAACGCGUAGGUAACCUGCCUGGUAGCGGGGGAUAACUAUUGGAAACGAUAGCUAAUACCGCAUAAUAGUAGAUGUUGCAUGACAUUUGCUUAAAAGGUGCAAUUGCAUCACUACCAGAUGGACCUGCGUUGUAUUAGCUAGUUGGUGAGGUAACGGCUCACCAAGUCAACGAUACAUAGCCGACCUGAGAGGGUGAUCGGCCACACUGGGACUGAGACACGGCCCAGAAUCCUACGGGAGGCAGCAGUAGGGAAUCUUCGGAAAUGGACGGAAGUCAGAACGAGCAACGCCGCGUGAGUGAAGAAGGUGUUCGGAUCGUAAAGCUAUGUUGUAAGAGAAGAACGAGUGUGAGAGUGGAAAGUUCACACUGUGACGGUAUCUUACCAGAAAGGGACGGAUAACUACGUG
rnacentral:rRNA from 1 species